rnacentral:rRNA from 1 species
AUACCGGAUACGAGACGCGAUCGCAUGGUCGGCGUCUGGAAAGUUUUUCGGUCAAGGAUGGACUCGCGGCCUAUCAGCUUGUUGGUGAGGUAACGGCUCACCAAGGCGUCGACGGGUAGCCGGCCUGAGAGGGCGACCGGCCACACUGGGACUGAGACACGGCCCAGACUCCUACGGGAGGCAGCAGUGGGGAAUAUUGCACAAUGGGCGAAAGCCUGAUGCAGCGACGCCGCGUGAGGGAUGAAGGCCUUCGGGUUGUAAACCUCUUUCAGUAGGGAAGAAGCGGUUGGGUUCUCCUAGUCGUGACGGUACCUGCAGAAGAAGCGCCGGCUAACUACGUGCCAGCAGCCGCGGUAAUACGUAGGGCGCAAGCGUUGUCCGGAAUUAUUGGGCGUAAAGAGCUCGUAGGCGGUUUGUCGCGUCUGGUGUGAAAACUCAAGGCUCAACCUUGAGCUUGCAUCGGGUACGGGCAGACUAGAGUGUGGUAGGGGUGACUGGAAUUCCUGGUGUAGCGGUGGAAUGCGCAGAUAUCAGGAGGAACACCGAUGGCGAAGGCAGGUCACUGGGCCACUACUGACGCUGAGGAGCGAAAGCAUGGGGAGCGAACAGGAUUAGAUACCCUGGUAGUCCAUGCCGUAAACGUUGGGCACUAGGUGUGGGGCUCAUUCCACGAGUUCCGCGCCGCAGCUAACGCAUUAAGUGCCCCGCCUGGGGAGUAC